rnacentral:misc_RNA from 1 species
GAUGAAGAACGUAGCGAAAUGCGAUACGUAAUGUGAAUUGCAGAAUUCAGUGAAUCAUCGAAUCUUUGAACGCAUAUUGCGCUCUCUGGUAUUCCGGAGAGCAUGCUUGUUUGAGUAUCAGUAAACACCUCAACUUCCAUAUCUUUUUUGAAAUGGGAGUUGGACUUGAGUGAUCCCAACGCUUUUCCUCACCGAAAAGUGGCGGGUUACUUGAAAUGCAGGUGCAGCUGGACUUUUCUCUGAGCUAUAAGCAUAUCUAUUUAGUCUGCCUAAAAAACAGAUUAUUACCUUUGCUGCAGCUAACAUAAAGGAGAUUAGUUCUUGUGCUGACUGAUGCAGGAUUCACAAAGACAGGCUUCGGCCGACUUUGUAAACUCGAUCUCAAAUCAAGUAAGACUACCCGCUGAACUUAAGCAUAUCAAUAAGCGGGAGGA